rnacentral:lncRNA from 1 species
UUCUUAUGUGGGACUGCAUAACCUUUGUUCCUUUUCUCCAGCCCCAUUGUGAUUAAAUGUGGGUUAAUGAAUAAAGAUGCUUGUUAGUUUUGGAACACUAGAUAAAAAUCUGUAACAGACCUAAAGUUCCAAAGUAAACUACUCAACGCCUUGUUUGCCCGGAACUGAUGUUACAGACCCCACAAUCUAUAGAACAAGCUGCAAAUGUCUGCUGACCAUCAAUAUGUGACAGUCGACCACCAACCUUUGUCCCCUUUUCUUUAAUUCUAUAUGUUAACUUCCUCCUCAACCCCCUAUAAGAAGAGCCUCGGACUCUGAGCCAGUUGCCUCUCUAAGCUAUUUUGCUUUGGGAGUGCCCUCUGGCCAGACUAACAAAGGUCUGUUUUAUUUUCCAACUUGUCCGGUGUGUUCCUUUCCGGGUGUUCUUCGCUGCAGUCGGCUCCUCGGAGUGUUUGGCAAGGCUCUUGGUCUUACAUUCUGGAGGCACUGCUGGGAUCCCUGGGUGUGCUUCACUACAGUCAGCUCCUCAGAGCGUUUGGUAAGGCCCUUGGUCUUACAUUCUGGAGGCACUGCUGGGAUCCCUGGGUGUGCUUCACUACAGUCAGCUCCUCAGAGCGUUUGGUAAGGCCCCAGGUCUUACAUUUUGGAGGCCCCAGCGAGAUCCCGGGUAAGGAACCCCAGUUCAGCUGAGACUCUGUGGUGGGAUCCAGCAGGAGACUCAGGCACAGGCCUCAGAAAACCUCCGGAGGAGAACGAAUUUGGGGAUUAAUUUUUCUCGAGGAAAACUUCGCUCCCUGUGUCAAUUGGAAUGGCCAGCCUUUGGAGACUGGAUGGCCAGCCGAGGGCUCCUUUGAGCCGAGCCUCUGCCGGGCGCCUGUUUCUAGCACCUGUGAGCCAGCCCCUCUUUGCCUUCAAAUGGACUGACCCAGACACUGGGACUACCAGACAGCUGACAUGGACCCAGCUGCCGCAGGGAUUCAAAAACUCCCCCACUCUGUUUGGGGAAGCUCUCAGCAAAGAUUUACAAGAGGUACUCACAGAAAAACCUGAAUACACAGAUAAAGUAGCGGAAAUGAACAGGAGACGCUGGACUUGA